GCCAGGUGUAGUGGUGUGCGCCUGUAAUCCUAGCUACUCGGGAGGCUGAGGCAGGAGAAUCGCUUGAACCCAGGAGGUGGAGGUUGCAGUGAGUUGAGAUCGUGCCAUUGCACUCCAGCCUGGGUGACAGAGUGAGACUCUGUCUCAA
ensembl:misc_RNA Metazoa_SRP Metazoan signal recognition particle RNA